rnacentral:rRNA from 1 species
GACGAACGCUGGCGGCGUGCUUAACACAUGCAAGUCGAACGGUGAACGAGGGAGCUUGCUCCCUCCGGAUCAGUGGCGAACGGGUGAGUAACACGUGAGCAAUCUGCCCCGAACUCUGGGAUAAGCGUUGGAAACGACGUCUAAUACCGGAUACGACGCGGGAGGGCAUCCUCUCCGCGUGGAAAGAACUUCGGUUCGGGAUGAGCUCGCGGCCUAUCAGCUUGUUGGUGAGGUAACGGCUCACCAAGGCGACGACGGGUAGCCGGCCUGAGAGGGUGACCGGGCACACUGGGAACGAGAAACGGGCCAGACUCCUACGGGAGGCAGGAGGGGGGAAAAAUGCAAAAAGGGCGGAAGCCUGAUGGAGGCAAGCCGCGGGAGGGAAGAAGGCCUUCGGGUUGGAAACCCUUUUUAGCAGGGAAGAAGCGAAAGGGAAGGGAACUGGAGAAAAAGGAACGGCCAAAUAAGGG